rnacentral:rRNA from 1 species
AACAUUUGGAAACAGAUGCUAAUACCGAAUAAAACUUAGUGUCGCAUGACACAAAGUUAAAAGGCGCUUCGGCGUCACCUAGAGAUGGAUCCGCGGUGCAUUAGUUAGUUGGUGGGGUAAAGGCCUACCAAGACAAUGAUGCAUAGCCGAGUUGAGAGACUGAUCGGCCACAUUGGGACUGAGACACGGCCCAAACUCCUACGGGAGGCUGCAGUAGGGAAUCUUCCACAAUGGGCGAAAGCCUGAUGGAGCAACGCCGCGUGUGUGAUGAAGGCUUUCGGGUCGUAAAGCACUGUUGUAUGGGAAGAACAGCUAGAAUAGGAAAUGAUUUUAGUUUGACGGUACCAUACCAGAAAGGGACGGCUAAAUACGUGCCAGCAGCCGCGGUAAUACGUAUGUCCCGAGCGUUAUCCGGAUUUAUUGGGCGUAAAGCGAGCGCAGACGGUUUAUUAAGUCUGAUGUGAAAGCCCGGAGCUCAACUCCGGAAUGGCAUUGGAAACUGGUUAACUUGAGUGCAGUAGAGGUAAGUGGAACUCCAUGUGUAGCGGUGGAAUGCGUAGAUAUAUGGAAGAACACCAGUGGCGAAGGCGGCUUACUGGACUGCAACUGACGUUGAGGCUCGAAAGUGUGGGUAGCAAACAGGAUUAGAUACCCUGGUAGUCCACACCGUAAACGAUGAACACUAGGUGUUAGGAGGUUUCCGCCUCUUAGUGCCGAAGCUAACGCAUUAAGUGUUCCGCCUGGGGAGUACGACCGCAAGGUUGAAACUCAAAGGAAUUGACGGGGACCCGCACAAGCGGUGGAGCAUGUGGUUUAAUUCGAAGCAACGCGAAGAACCUUACCAGGUCUUGACAUCCUUUGAAGCUUUUAGAGAUAGAAGUGUUCUCUUCGGAGACAAAGUGACAGGUGGUGCAUGGUCGUCGUCAGCUCGUGUCGUGAGAUGUUGGGUUAAGUCCCGCAACGAGCGCAACCCUUAUUGUUAGUUGCCAGCAUUCAGAUGGGCACUCUAGCGAGACUGCCGGUGACAAACCGGAGGAAGGCGGGGACGACGUCAGAUCAUCAUGCCCCUUAUGACCUGGGCUACACACGUGCUACAAUGGCGUAUACAACGAGUUGCCAACCCGCGAGGGUGAGCUAAUCUCUUAAAGUACGUCUCAGUUCGGAUUGUAGUCUGCAACUCGACUACAUGAAGUCGGAAUCGCUAGUAAUCGCGGAUCAGCACGCC